UACAGAGGUCCCAAGCGUUGUUCGGAUUCAUUGGGCGUAAAGGGUGCGUAGGCGGCGCGGUAAGUCGGAUGUGAAAUCUCGGAGCUUAACUUCGAAACUGCAUUCGAUACUGCGGUGCUUGAGGACUGGAGAGGAGACUGGAAUUCAUGGUGUAGCAGUGAAAUGCGUAGAGAUCAUGAGGAAGACCAGUGGCGAAGGCGGGUCUCUGGACAGUUCCUGACACUGAGACACGAAGGCCAGGGGAGCAAACGGG
rnacentral:rRNA from 1 species